rnacentral:lncRNA from 1 species
CAUAGACUUGUCUUAAUUUAUCAAGCUCUAUCGGUGUCAACAAAGAGAACAUUUCAAUGACAUUGAUUGGAGAUUGUGUUUUUUGUUGGAGGGGCAGCAUUACUCGCUAGUCUUACAAAUGACCCCUGUAGCUGUGCUUCUGACAUACUGCUGCGUUUGCUGGUGUUGACACAGCUCCGUAUGCUCCGGCAGGAUGAUGAAGCUGUCCGGUGGAUUGGAGAUCUGCUAAUCCGCUGCUGAAUUAGCUCAGGAGGAUGUCUCAAGGCUCUGGCGAUGUGGUGCCACUUAUGUAGGAUUGAAAUCCUGCCUCAUCGCUCCACGGCUGACAUGCCAACCUUCACCAUCCCUGGCCAUGCUCAAACUCUGUCUUCAUGUGCUUCAUCAGGCUCCAAAAGCACAGACAGCUUUUUGAGCACAUCAGGACAUUGUGUGUCUGUCCUGGCCCGAGCCUUUAGCAUUACAUUCCCACAGUCCAAAGAAUUACUUCACAACAUGGAGGAUUCGUACAGCCCAGGGCUUUAUAUUUGUAACCCACACCAGCGUGACCACGGCUGGUCCAUCAGCAGGCCUCAUUAGCUCUAUACCCAGAGAAUGUGCGGCCUGCCUGCCUGCCUCCAGAUGGGUCCGAGCCAAGCUUUUGCUGCCAGCGAUGGCCUGCCAAGCAGUUGUUCUGACAGUAGAAGAUGGGAGAGAAAAGAGGUCCGCCGGAUUUGUAUGUUUCUGACUUCAGUGUUAUACGAACUGUGUGUUUUAUGCACAGAUGGAUAGCAAUAUGGUGUUUAUAUAGUCCCAUGACCAUCCGACCGCCAAAAUAAAAGACACGUUCUUCUCAGUUUGGCUGGAGUUGAACAUAUUCAUAAAUUUCAAACAUUUCUCCAAUGGUAUGCGCCGUAAGAAUGGUCUAGGAAUUCAAACAAUGUGCUAAUUAAGAAAAACAUGGUGUCUCAAUCCACAGUGGCAGUGUAUAAUUACAGUGUGGAGAGUCUGUGUUGACUGAUUCAACCUCACCACUUGCCACAACAACUUGACAAUACUGAUUUCCUCACGUCGCUCCAUGUUCGGGACAGAUUAAAUACAUCUAAACAUCAGCCGUCAGCCUCUUGAGAACCCAGUUUUUGUGUAUGUGUGUGUAGCUUGGCAUGCGUACUAGGAAAAGAGCGGGAAAGUACGCUCUUCGGUGCCAGUUCAAACUUAGACUAAACCGGCGUAGCCACUUGGGGUUUUGGGUCGUCCAAUGAUGGUUUCUUUGUGGCGUUCUCCAUUGGGGAGAAUUAAUGUGAGUUUUUUUAAAUAACAUGCGGCCGCAAGUAGGUACUGUAGAUGGCAAGCCUUUGCUGUCACUCAUGGCUCUCCUAUGGUUAGCAGCUAGGGAAAGCCACAAACUGGCUGAAGUUGACAGGGUGGAUCAGCGGUCUGCUUUGAUUACACUGAGAGAGAGAGAAUAAACGCUGCUGACACUUGCUGCUCCUGCUGGACAGAUGAUGUCAUUUUAUGGCCCCUUAAACAUAUGAUCCUAAAUGCUUUUUAAAGCCGGGGAUGAUCUCAGAGGCAUUGUACAUGCUUAACCUUUGAGUUCUAUUUAAUGUGUUUUAUUAUUUAACUGGGCC